GAUUAACGCUGGCGGCGUGCCUAACACAUGCAAGUCGAACGAAGUGGCGGACGGGUGAGUAACGCGUGAGUUACCUGCCUUAGAGUAGUGGAUAGCCUUUGUAAACGCAGAAUAAUACCCUAUGCUUUAUGAUGGACUUUCGUCUGAUUAGUUAGUUGGUGGGGUAACGGCCUUCCAAGACAGCGAUCAGUAGCCGGCUUGAGAGAGUGGACGGCCACAUUGGGACUGGGACACGGCCCAGACUCGACGGGAGGCAGCAGUGGGGAAUUUGGCACGAUGGGGGAAACCCGGAUGCAGCGACGCCGCGUGAUUUAGAAGGCCUGCGGGUUGUAAAAAUCUUUUCUAUGGGAAGCAGUACCAUAGGAAUAAGGACCGGCUAAUUACGUGCCAGCAGCCGCGGUAAUUC
rnacentral:rRNA from 1 species